GACGAACGCUGGCGGCGUGCUUAACACAUGCAAGUCGAACGGAAAGGCCCUGCUUUUGUGGGGUACUCGAGUGGCGAACGGUUGAGUAACACGUGAUUAACCUGCCCUUGCCUUUGGGAUAACUUCAGGAAACUGGGGGUAAUACCGGAUAAGAGCUCCUGCUGCAUGGUGGGGGUUGGAAAGUUUCGGCGGUUGGGUAUGGACUCGCGGCCUAUCAGCUCGUUGGUGGGGUAGUGGCUUACCAAGGCUUUGACGGGUAGCCGGCCUGAGAGUGUGACCGGCCACAGUGGGAUUGAGAUGCGACCCGGAGUGCUACGGGAGGCAGCAGUGAGGGAUAGUGCACAAUGGGCGGAGGCCGUAAGCAGCAACGCCGCGUGGGGGAUGACUGCCGUCGGGUUGUAAAGCGCGUGCGCCUGGGACGAAGCGUGAGUGACGGUAAUGUGUAAAGAAGCACCGGCUAACUACGUG
rnacentral:rRNA from 1 species